AUUAAUUAAGGCAGCACAAACUCAUCCGACCAUUAUAAUAAAUGAAUUAUUGUCGGCAUUGGUUAUAUCAAACCGUUCAUAGGAUGACAAUAUCUCAUCUUCUAGGUCGUUGUGCCAUGUCGCUGAAGUGGUUGGUUAGUAUGGCUAUUUUUUUAAAUUCUUUUUCUUCUUCUUUUUUCCAAAUUGCUUUUAUUUAAAAUAAAGAAAUUUAGAACCGCAGCCGGAGAGAGUGGAAAGGAAAAAGAAAUAAAAUACUUAAGUGGCA
rnacentral:lncRNA from 1 species